rnacentral:rRNA from 1 species
AACGAACGCUAUCGGUAUGCUUAACACAUGCAAGUCGGACGGACUAAUUAGGGCUUGCUCCAAUUAGUUAGUGGCAGACGGGUGAGUAACACGUGGGAAUCUGCCCAUCAGUACGGAAUAACUUUUAGAAAUAAAAGCUAAUACCGUAUAUUCUCUACAGAGGAAAGAUUUAUCGCUGAUGGAUGAGCCCGCGUCAGAUUAGGUAGUUGGUGAGGUAACGGCUCACCAAGCCGACGAUCUAUAGCUGGUCUGAGAGGAUGAUCAGCCACACUGGGACUGAGACACGGCCCAGACUCCUACGGGAGGCAGCAGUGGGGAAUAUUGGACAAUGGGCGAAAGCCUGAUCCAGCAAUACCGAGUGAGUGAUAAAGGCCCUAGGGUUGUAAAGCUCUUUUAGCAAGGAAGAUAAUGACGUUACUUGCAGAAAAAGCCCCGGCUAACUCCGUG